rnacentral:rRNA from 1 species
AAAUGACUCUCGGCAACGGAUAUCUCGGCUCACGCAUCGAUGAAGAACGUAGCAAAAUGCGAUACUUGGUGUGAAUUGCAGAAUCCCGUGAACCAUCGAGUUUUUGAACGCAAGUUGCGCCCAAAGCCAUCCGGUUGAGGGCACGCCUGCCUGGGCGUCA